rnacentral:rRNA from 1 species
UACGCUUCGUAGGUGACCUGCGGAAGGACAUU